UGCAGUCGACGGUAGCACAGAGAGCUUGCUCUCGGGUGACGAGUGGCGGACGGGUGAGUAAUGUCUGGGAAACUGCCUGAUGGAGGGGGAUAACUACUGGAAACGGUAGCUAAUACCGCAUAACGUCGCAAGACCAAAGAGGGGGACCUUCGGGCCUCUUGCCAUCAGAUGUGCCCAGAUGGGAUUAGCUAGUAGGUGGGGUAACGGCUCACCUAGGCGACGAUCCCUAGCUGGUCUGAGAGGAUGACCAGCCACACUGGAACUGAGACACGGUCCAGACUCCUACGGGAGGCAGCAGUGGGGAAUAUUGCACAAUGGGCGCAAGCCUGAUGCAGCCAUGCCGCGUGUAUGAAGAAGGCCUUCGGGUUGUAAAGUACUUUCAGCGGGGAGGAAGGUGUUGUGGUUAAUAACCGCAGCAAUUGACGUUACCCGCAGAAGAAGCACCGGCUAACUCCGUGCCAGCAGCCGCGGUAAUACGGAGGGUGCAAGCGUUAAUCGGAAUUACUGGGCGUAAAGCGCACGCAGGCGGUCUGUCAAGUCGGAUGUGAAAUCCCCGGGCUCAACCUGGGAACUGCAUUCGAAACUGGCAGGCUGGAGUCUUGUAGAGGGGGGUAGAAUUCCAGGUGUAUCGGUGAAAUGCGUAUAGAUCUGGAAGAAUUCCGGUGGCGAAGGCGGCCCCCUGGACA
rnacentral:rRNA from 1 species